AUUGAACGCUGGCGGCAGGCCUAACACAUGCAAGUCGAGCGGAUGAAGGGAGCUUGCUCCUGGAUUCAGCGGCGGACGGGUGAGUAAUGCCUAGGAAUCUGCCUGGUAGUGGGGGAUAACGUCCGGAAACGGGCGCUAAUACCGCAUACGUCCUGAGGGAGAAAGUGGGGGAUCUUCGGACCUCACGCUAUCAGAUGAGCCUAGGUCGGAUUAGCUAGUUGGUGGGGUAAAGGCCUACCAAGGCGACGAUCCGUAACUGGUCUGAGAGGAUGAUCAGUCACACUGGAACUGGGACACGGUCCAGACUCCUACGGGAGGCAGCAGUGGGGAAUAUUGGACAAUGGGCGAAAGCCUGACCCAGCCAUGCCGCGUGUGUGAAGAAGGUCUUCGGAUUGUAAAGCACUUUAAGUUGGGAGGAAGGGCAGUAAGUUAAUACCUUGCUGUUUUGACGUUACCAACAGAAUAAGCACCGGCUAACUUCGUG
rnacentral:rRNA from 1 species